CAGUUCAUUCAUUUCACUCUUGACAACUCACCACACCAAUCAGAUCCCCACGGCCAUACUCCCCCGCCAGCUCCUUCUUCCCAUCAUCCUUUGCAAUGACAGAGCGCAGUCGGCCACUGAGGACGAUGAAGAUUAUGAACAACUGACAGGAUGACAAGAGAACUGGAGCAGUGCAUAAAUAGUGUUAGGAGGAAUACCUGUAGACGGCACGGCCAGCCUCCACAGCCAUCCAGUCCAGGGCGAAGUCAAUCUGUCUCACAAACGGUGACACCCUUUUCACCACAGUGUGAGCUACGUUCAGCACAACCCGAGGCUCCUCGCGCAUCAUUCUGCAAAAAGUGGGCCUUGGAUAUGUAGAGGAAGGUGCAGUCUCGGUGCGCACGCACUGUGAAGAUGAGGGGCUCCCCCGUGAGGACGGCCAAAUGGCCCACCAACUCUCCUGGGUGGGUGACGAAGA